rnacentral:rRNA from 1 species
AUACGUAGGUGGCGAGCGUUGUUCGGAUUCAUUGGGCGUAAAGGGUCCGCAGGGGGUAGAUUAAGUCUGAUGUGAAAUCCCUGAGCUUAACUCAGGAACUGCAUUGGAGACUGGUCUACUAGAGUAUCGGAGAGGAGAUUGGAAUUCCAGGUGUAGCGGUGGAAUGCGUAGAUAUCUGGAAGAACACCGAAAGCGAAGGCAGAUCUCUGGACGAUUACUGACCCUCAGGGACGAAAGCGUGGGGAGC